ensembl:snRNA U6 U6 spliceosomal RNA
AUGCUCACCUCCACAGCACAUAUGCUAAAAUUGGAAUGAUAAACAGAACACUAGCCCGGCCCCUGUGUAAGGAUGACACAUAAAUUUGGGAAGCAUGUCAUAUUAAA